rnacentral:rRNA from 1 species
GUCCUACGGGGGGCAGCAGUGGGGGAUAUUGCACAAUGGGGGAAACCCUGAUGCAGCGACGCCGCGUGUGGGAAGACGGUCUUCUGGAUUGUAAACCACUGUCCCCAGGGACGAAAAUGACGGUACCUGGGGAGGAAGCUCCGGCUAACUACGUGCCAGCAGCCGCGGUAAUACGUAGGUGGCAAGCGUUAUCCGGAUUUACUGGGUGUAAAGGGCGUGUAGGCGGGAAAGCAAGUCAGAUGUGAAAACCAUGGGCUCAACCUGUGGCCUGCAUUUGAAACUGUUUUUCUUGUGUACUGGAGAGG